rnacentral:rRNA from 1 species
AUGCAAGUCGAGCGAGGCAGCAAUGCCGAGCGGCGAACGGGUGAGUAACGCGUAAGCAAUCUGCCCCAUAUCAGGAAAUACCCGUGCCAACGCGCGGUUAAUGUCCAGGAGAGUGGCCUUCCGCAUGGAAGGUUGACUAGAGAUUUAUCGGUAUGGGAUGAGCUUGCGUCCGAUUAGCUAGUUGGCGGGGCAACGGCCCACCAAGGCGACGAUCGGUAGCCGGCCUGAGAGGGUGAUCGGCCACAUUGGGACUGAGAUACGGCCCAGACUCCUACGGGGGGCAGCAGUAGGGAAUAUUGCACAAUGGGGGAAACCCUGAUGCAGCAACGCCACGUGUGGGGAAGAAGCAUUUCGGUGUGUAAACCACUGUCAUGAGGGAAUAAGGCCCGCCUUCGGACGGGAUUGAAUGUACCUUGAGAGGAAGCACCGGCAAACUUCGUGCCAGCCGCUGC